UGAUCAAAGCUGGACCUUUUCAGAGAAGGUCUCGAAUCCUGAAGACAGACUUCGAGGUGCGCAGCCCUCGGGCCGGCCCGGGCGCACCUUUUCUGUCUCCUGCCACAUUGUGAGCGCUCCGCCGCCCAGAUAACCGCCGGCUCCCCGCGCCGCCCCCGCCUUCUCCCACUCCGCCCACUGCCGGGAGCCCAGGGGAUGAUGCAGCAAGAAGACCCACACCAGAUGAGGGCGCCUUGAUAUUGGAUUUCCCAGCCUCCAGAACUGAGCCUGGGACUUGCCUCUGUGAUCUGGUGCUUUGGAGGGCCUUGGGCCUCAGGGCUAGCAAGGUCCCUUUCUGGAGAUUCCAGUUCCUCUGCCCGCCCUCCUUUACCUCUUUCUCCUCACACAUCUGUCUGAGGGAUGGGGAUGAGGGCUGCCAACCAAUGUUACCACUUGACAGACCACAAGAGGGCUGGUUCCAGUGCCUCCCUUGUUCAGCUGCUGACACUGCAGCUUGGCAGUCAUUGAAGGCAAUAUUUAGCUCCUACAUCUGACCUGAUUGGAAGAUCAGGCUUCUGUCGUCCUGGUUUCCUGGCCUUGGAUAGUUCUUCACUAACUUUUAUUCAUUAAGGCAGUGGGCAGAAAGCAGCAGAACCCUGUUUUUUCUUUUUUUGGGGUUUUUGUUGUUGUUGUUGUUGUUGUAAAUAAAAAUGCAGUCUGGAUUUUAAGGGCCACACAGCAGCAAGAACUAAAACCUGGGUCUCCAAGGUCCAAGUCCAGGACUUCUCUAUGACACCCUACUGCAGCCCUUUGCUGGAUACCAUACAAAGCAAAUUGAGCAGAUGUGUUCUCUGCCCUCUGAAAGUUUGGACUCAAAUGGACAGCCACAAUUCUGGCAAACA
rnacentral:lncRNA from 10 species